UGAGGUGUCGCCAAGUGGCUAAGGCAUCGGACUUUGAAUCCGACAUCCGUAGGUUCGAAUCCUACCACCUCAG
rnacentral:tRNA from 1 species